rnacentral:lncRNA from 1 species
UGAGGCCGCUGAACGUGCUCUUCUGUACCAGACCUAUCAGUGCAGGUUUGAUCAAAUAAUCUUGUCGAGUAGAGGGUGGAGGGUUGAUGGGAGAGCGGUUUGUACCGAAGUUCCGCGGAAGGUUUCGCUCCCCAAUAAGAGCACCACGCUCCUCUCGCGCGGCAUUCUCGGCUGCUUGUUCCUGAGCAGCUUGUUGCUGAUUUUGGAUGGUUUGCUGCAUCUUUUGUUGCUGAUUCUUCAUUUGUUGUUGAAUGAGUGCCAAUGCAGCAGUGAGGUCAUCCAUAUUGUCGUGAUCACCCAUGUUGGUGUCGGUUGUUUUUGGCUGUUGGCGGUUCUGUCUUUCUAAUCUUGCGAGUUCGUCGUUGGUCAGUUGUUGUAGUGGUCCUUGUGCGUUGCUCCGAGUAUGUCUACUGGUCAUGCACUUGGAUCAUCUGUUCCAACAAAGAAAUAGAGCAAGUUAGAUAUCUCAGACUAAAUAUUAAACCGAAAAUAAAGGUAAAAGCUUAGUCUCCGUCGUAACGGCGCCAAAACUUGAUACACUAAAAAUGAAUCCUUGCUACUGUCAAGUUAACAGUGGUAAUUGUAAUAUUUGAGAUUCAAUCCAUAAGACCAGUUUACUCUUUACUCUUACGAGUUCAAUAAUAAGCUGAGAAACAAGUGGGGUUUUGAGAAUUAAUUGUGACGCAAGUAACUAGAAUACCUAGAUGGUUCAAAUUCGAUUUAAAUGAAGCCGGCUUAGGGUUAUUAAUCGGGUGUCAAUGCAAAACUGAACAACUAUUCAAGUGCAAUAAGGUGCAGUCUAGAACUCAGAUCACUCGGCUAGAACAAUCCACUAUCGUGGUCUUGCUCCCUUUGCAGAUCCUUGGUGUAGAAGUGGCUCAGGAAUGCUGAUCGAACCUGGUCCCAUGAGGUUAGAAAACCGGUUGGGAGAGAUUGCAGCCAACGAAAAGCUUUCCCUUCGAGAGAGAAUGGGAACAGCAUGCAUUUGAAAUAAUCCGGUGGCACUCCAUUAGAGCGAGAAAAAUUGCAAAUCCUAGCUGAUUGGGGAUACAAAGCUCAUUCAAUAUAUGUCAAUUUAUCUCAUAAGCGGUUAGUUAGGUGAUCAAAUCAGAAAUCGAACAUUAAGUGAUCAAUUCAAUGUAAGCAGUAAGAACAAUAUGAAUGAAGAACAGUUAAGAUCACUUAUUUGUGUUCAGUUCAUGCGGCUAACACCCUACAACCCUAAGCAAGCUUAGCCUACUACUCAAUCAUAAAGCAGGAUGACACAGACAUGGUUUCUGAAUAAUACUGCAUAUAAAAUAAAGUAGAAAGACAAGGGUUCAGGAUGAUCUUGUCGUGAGGAUGAAGCAUUCUCCCUUACAAGUUGCUUAAUCCAAAGAAAAUAGUUCUAGGUCUCUUGCAAAAACUAGCGUAAGAAAAAGAAAUGAUAGCAUAGGCCUUUUUAUAUGGAGGCGCUGGUGGUAAAGAGAUAAGAGAGAGUGGAAUCUAGGGCAAACUUCCGGAAUAGGAAGUUUCCUUAAUGAUCGGGAACAGUCAGACGCUUGUUCUCUUCGGGAACAACCUUCGGGUUGUUCUAGAUGGCUGUUCCGCAUCGAAUCCUUCAAAACGACAUCUGACUUCCUGAAUCUCUCUUCUUUGCUCUUUCAUCUGCUCCAAACCUGGAAUGAUAUCAAUUAAACACGAAUUAAGACUGAGAAUUAGCUCAAAGCACACAUAUAAUGGUAUUAAAAACACCAUAUAUCAAGUGUUCAGAAUCUUCACUCUCCAACUUGAAGGGGAGUAUUGGAGAGGAUAUGGAUGACAAUUAUACUUGUGUUUAUCAUAAUAGAGUUGUAUAUAUCGCUUAUACAUAAGUUCUAUUUGUUCUUAUCCUCUAAGGUUUAGGUCGACCAUGUCAUGUAUAUAAACAAGAGCAAUUGCUCGAUAUAAGUCAAGUUAACAAUUCAUAAAUCAUAUCUACUUUACACGAUGCUAAUGAUUUCUUUUUGUUUUUCAAAUCAUUCUUUGAUGCCAACUUAGCUCUCACUGAACAGGUUUUCAUCGACCUUUCUUGUUGACCUUAGUGAAAUCUAAAUCAUACCGUUUAAUUCUGUUAUUUAGCAGCCUCCUAACACUACAAGAAAACACUAUGAACUCCAACAAAGAUUUCCGAUGCCUCUAGUUCUCGGAAUGUUUCCGAUAACGCAGUGAGAUAAUAGUGACAAAUUUCAAAAUUCAUCGGAAAUUUAUAGGAAUUUUCCGGCAACCAUGUAUUAUCGGAAAGCUGUCGGUAAAAUUCUCGGAUUUUUGUCAAGAUGUACCAACAAACAUGUAUUAUCGGAAAGUUGUCGGUAAAGUUCUCGGAUAUUUGUCAAAGUGUACCGACAAAUAGUGUUCUCAGUAUUUGAUUGGUAAAGUUAUGGGAAAAUUAACAGUAAUUAAUAUUGUCACAUAUGUCAUUGUUUCCGAGGAUAGUUACCGUCGUCAAUUCUGUUGGUUCUUAAUAAACGAUGAAAAAUAAGAUAUAAUGCAUAAUAUAUUUAAUAUUUAAAGUCUAAUAUCCAUUGCAUGCGGUCAUUUUUAAUACAAGUUAAGAUAUUGACAAUCUUUAUUUUUUCCUUUUUUUAUAAUUUCUCUCUCACCAUAGAAGAGCAUCUCCAAAAAUGAACUCUAUUUUGAAGUUUCCAAAACUCUAUAUUUGAAGUUUAAAAGUGUUAUUCUCUAAAAGUAAAAUUUUAAAUUCAACUUCAAAACUAUUUGUAUUUUAUAAUAUGGUCCUUAUAUUUGUCAUAACUAAUUUGAAUUCAUAAAACUUUUGUAAAUAACUAGCACAUAUAUAAACAUAUUACAACAAAAUUAAUUAAUAUUAUAUUAUAUUAAAAUAUAAAAUUUUAAACAAAAUAACUUAAUUAAUAUUAAACUUCAAGCAAAAUACCAUAUUACUCCAUAAAGUGAUUUUCGUAAUGCAUAUAUGAUCUACUAGUGAAUUUUGAAGUAAAAAUGGCUCUCCUCAUUUUUAAUUUGUAGAUUAAAGAUAAAAAAAAUAGUUGAAAUCGGGUGAUAUUAAUACUUGUAAAUACAUUAGAUCAGAACAAAAAAAAAUAAAAUAUUGUUAAAAGACUAACUUUUAUCGAUGAUAUUAAUACUCGUGAAUAUAUUUAAUAUGAACAAGAAAGAAUUGUACGAAAAGACAUCAUCAUCAACAACAACAACCAUCUUCAGUUAAACAAAAAAAACUGGACAAUAUUUGGAAAUUUUGAAGGUUCCAGAUCAAACUUACCUGACUAUUAGUAGUGUUGUAAUAUUUAAAUUUGUAUAAUAGUUAUGCCUUCAUAUAAUUUUUUAAAAGUUUUUUUUUAAGUUUUUAUUGUAUAUUGUUGUUGUCUAAAUCUAGUUUUAAAUAUUUUAAAUCUUAUUUUAAAGUUUUAUUUAAUUUUAUAUGUAAAACUUAGAUUUUGUAAACAAAACUUAAAAUAUUUAUGAGAUAUAAUUUUUUUAAGAAUUAAAACAAUAAACAAGAAAAUAUUUAUGAAUCAUAAAUGUUAUGUGUAGUUAUAAAGACCAAAAUGCAAAUAAAAAUAUGAAGUUUUGAGUAGCGAAACUUCAAAACUUCAAAAAAAAAAAUUUGAGAGCAAAAAACUUCAUAUUUGAAGUUAUAGAAUAUUUUUUGAAGUUAUAAAAACUUCUCUCUACUCUUUCUUCUCUGUAGAUCUGUCAAAGAGACGAUAGCAAUGGCAUUAAGUGACAUCUUCACGAACGAGCUUGUUCAAGUUCGCGUCUCCGGUUGGCCUUGACGGGAGCAUCACCAGUUUCACAUCUUGUGGGAUUUACUCGGGAUUGGGAGGAGGAGGAGGUGGUGCUGCUUAUUCUUCAUGUUUGGUUCUGGUUAGUGUGCUAUGUCUAGGAUAUUUGCUUCUUCUUUUUUUUGCUCUUCUUUCUCUUUGUUGCUUUUAUAUCAACCAACCACCUAAAUCUCCUUCACACCACCGUUGCCGCCACUUACUCCACUCUACUGCCAUCGCCGUUCACUCCACCUCCACCAUCAAGGUCAAUUUCGCAGCCUACACCAACACAACCUCACCCAUUUAUUAGAUAAUAAUGUAGUUUAUUUAAUUUUGUUAUAUAUUUUUAUAGAACUUCUAUAUUUAAUUUAUUUAUAUGUAAUUUAUAUUUGAUAAUUUUAUUUAUUUAUUUUUUAAUUUUGCUUUUUGUUUUUUUUUUCAAAAAAAAUAUUAGAUUCUCGGAAGUUUAUCGGAUACAUUUCUCGGAAGUUCAUCGGGAUUUCCGAUCACUUUCCGACAAAUAAUCCCGACGAUAUUUGUCAACGGAAAUUACCUACUAGCUUCCGACGAACUGGAAUUUCCGAGAGCCAAACUCCGACUAAACCUUGAUCGUCGGGAAAUGGUGGGAAAUUCCCACUACCGACUACCUUCCGAGUAAUCUGGCUGUCGGAGUAUGAAUCUUAUUCUUGUAGUGUAAGUUUCCAGUUUUACGAUCCCAAGGACACCCUUCUUCACAUUUCCACGAUUCUUGCCACCUACCAAUGUUGAUAAAUGCAGAAUUAUGGUUCUUGAAUCUGUUUAAAACCGUUGUUAUCAGCUGAUGAUUGAUGAUAUCAUCCGUCCUAACUUGUUCAAAAUGUUUCUAUAGUUUCACAUGGGUGCUUCUUUAGAGAAUGUAGUGUACAGCACUCUAUUGUGGGCAUACGAUCACGUGUAGAGUCUGAAGUAGAGCUUCGGGAUACGAUUGUGAUGGGAGCAGAUUUCUACCAAACAGAAGCUGAAAUCAUGUCUAUGUUGGCUGAAGGGAAAGUUCCCAUAAGUGUAGGGGAGAACACCAAGAUUAGGUAUAAGUAUAACAGAAGCUGUAGUCCCGUCUCUAAUCUGUAGCAUUCAUUGUUACUUGUAUUGUGUUGUGCAAAAUGCAGGAACUGUAUGUCUGCAUCAUUGACAAGAAUGCCAAGAUUGGGAAAAACGUGGUCAUAGCAAAUACAGAUGUAUAUGUUGUUUUGAUUACAUCUUUUGUUGAUUUCAAAACUUUUCCAUUGUCCAAUAUUGGUUUGUUUUAUUUGAGUGUGGCACGGUGUGGAAGAAGGAGAUAUGCCAGAGGAAGGUUUUUGUAUAAGAUCAGUCAUUGCCGUUGUGGUGAAGAACGCCACCAUUAGAGAUGGUAUGAUUGUUUAGCUUUAAAUUUCUCUUAGGAGCCGUGUGAUUCUUGUGGCUUUUAACGAGAAAGGCGUUAAGUUGGAUUAUUAAUUUUAUAAAACAAGAUGGAGAAUUAUUGACACUUUGAGAAAGAAAAAAAAUACUUAUAAUGAUCCAGAAUUUAGGAGAGGUUACUUUUUCCUCAAGUAACCAUAAUUUAUGUGAUCAAUGCCCUUGGAAUUAUUCACACGGCUAUGUGCCUUGAACCUGCACUAAUCAUAAUCCCUACAAUAAAUCUAGGUCUACCACACUCGUAAAAUGUUGAGGUAGAGAAAUAGUUAUUUAAAUCUAUUGAAUCUGGUUUAUUUGUAAGUUUCGGUUUUGAUGGUGAAACAAAAUUGGUCUUUCUCAUUAGAAAAAAAAAAAGAGAAGUAAAACCAGGAAAGACCAAGCUUUGAUUCAUUUAUGGUUAAUAAUGUGACUGUUUCUGUUUACAUGAAUAGCUUUUAGAAGCUUAAAUAAACAAUCAAUUAGCUUUGAAUUAUUUUAUUUACCUCUUUUAUUUUAAAAGAAACUAAUCCUAGAGGAAUCUUUCAACAACUUGAAAUGAUGGAUCUAAGUUUCUAUUUUUAUACACCCAGUCGGAGACUUCAAUAAAGAGGUUAGGAAAACGGCUACCAUAAUAGUCACAAAUGGUCUCUUCAAUGUGUUCUAGGAAAUUCUUUGCGUCUUUUGCAAUAGUAGUAUUGUAGUUUGUCAAUUCAUUCAAGCUGCAGACAUGAGCUUCAACCAAUGAAAUAUAAGCCUUCCUUAUAUUCUCAUGAGCCUUGUAGUCCAAAAUGGUUUUGAAAUUUAUCAGCACUGAAUAACAAAAUAGUACAUAUGCUACAAGCUUUUGAAAUUUUUUCCUCACAUAAUAUCAAAUAUAAAUUAAAAUAAAUGUGAUUAAUUAAUUGGAUUAUUUUAAACGAGGACAAUGUCAAACUAACUAGAAAACUGUAAUUGCCUAUAGUUCAAGGUGUACAAUUGAGAAGACGUUUAACCAAUUGAGAUCAAAUGUUUGUGAAAUGUUGAUCGACCCUUUUGGUCAUCAAGUCUUUCAAAAGCUUAUGUAUUAUUCACAAAUGAACAUAGCACUGGGGUUUUGGAUGAGUCACUCAACCACUCAACCACUUAUUCAGUUUUAAACGCUUUGUGACGAUUUACAUAGAUAUACAAUUUUGAUAUUAUUUUUAUGUUUACUUAAUAUGAACCUACUAAUUAUAUGUAAUUUAUCUUAUGUAUUUUGGUUUGAGAUAACAUAACACACACAAUACAAGAUUUGAUGUGAUGAUUUGGCUCCAAAGAGCAAAUAUCUCGCUUCAUGAUAAUUUUAUGUCAUAUUGUCCUACAUUUGACCAAAAUCACCUACGUGAAAACACGACCAUUUGAUAAUGUUUUAAUUCACUAACUUUUCUCAUUCAAAAACUAAUAUAAGUUUUAUCUUCAUUUUUUAAAAAAUAACAAUCACUCAGAAAUAUCUAAUUUGGUUUGUUGUAUAAAAACAUAAUUGUGUAGUUAAUCAAAAUUGCAUCUCAUUAUUUUUUUUAAAUGUAUAUUGUUCUCUCAAAUGAUGUCAUUGAAAAUAAUGUCUUUUGAUUUGUUGGAGAAACAUGAACAUCACAAACCAUACAUUAUUUUUUAUAAAAACUAUAGUGAUUUUUUUGGUCUUUUUACUAACAUUUAUUGUAUUUAUCCAGUGCUUUAAUCGAAUAAUUGUUCAAAAUUAUUAUCAAAAUAUACUUGAUCAACAUGAUUGUUGAAUGCUUCAGCAUCUCAUUCAAACUAAAAAGAUAUUUUAGUUAGGAAGAUGGCCAUUAAUGUGUGGAAAGUGAAUUGUUACAAAUAAAAUAUUUGCAUGAAUUACACAAAUAACAUAAUUAAUGUUAGUCAUUUUACUACAUUUUUGGUUCUUAUCUUGAAUUCUAAUUUUUGUUCUACGGAAACUAUAUGGUCCAAUUGUGGUAGAACUGUAAAUAUUUAAUGUUGGUUCUUCUUUUUUCCCUAUUUUCUACAAUAUAACAAUCACCUACAAAUAUGUAAUCUUGGUUCUUUGUUUUCUAAACAUAACUUCAUAGUUAAUCAAAUUUUAAUUUAAUUAGUUGUUUUCAAUGCAUAACAUUUUUUCAAUGAUGUUGCUGAAAGUGAUAUUUUUACUAUUUAACAAAAGAUUCCUACCUCGUUUGGAUGUUUUCAUGAAACAUAAACAAAGCAGACGAUAUAUUAUUUUCUAAAAACCAUGGAUGUAAUAGUUAAUGCUCAAAACAUAUGUAUGACUUGCUAUAACUAUGCAUGGAUUAUACAAGUAACUGUUAGUCAUUUUAUAGAUCACAUUUCGUUUUUUAUUUUGAAUUCUAUUUUCUAUUCAUCUGAAAUUACGUGGUCUAGUUGUGUGAGAACUGGAAGAUUAUCAAGUGGCAUGUAUUCUUUCUGUAUAUAUAUCUCGAUGUGAACUAUGUGUAACUUUCUUAUAAUACUAAGUACGGAGUCAAAUAGAAAAAUUGAUUGAAUAGUAAAAAAUCAUAAGCAAACUACUAGAUGAGAUUAAUUCAAAUUUUAUGUAUCUAUUCAUAAACUACGUGAGUGAGACUAUGUAACUGUAUCUCAGUUAAAAAUAAUAAUAAUUUACAUUUUUUUGUAUGAAAUCAUCAAAAAAAAAUUAAUUUUGAUGUUAUGUAGGAUGAAACUGUUAUAUACGGUAUUAACAAAAAUUCUUAUAAUGACAUGCUAACAUAUACUCUCUCUGUUCCCGAAAGUAAGAUUUUCUAAAGUGUUUACGUUUAUUAAAAAUUCAAUAAAUGUUAAUAAUUUAAUUUUCUUUUAUUUUAUUAUACAGUUUCCAAUAACUUUUCACCAAUAAAAUUUAAUCAAUUCAAAUAUUUUCAUUUAAUGUUUCUUAAAAAUAUUAAAACUACAUUAAACAUAUAGAAAAUCUAUCUUUGUAGAAUAAGUAAAAAAUCUAAAACAUCUUACUUUUGAGAACGGAAAGGGUACAAGAGGAAGUUAAGUGAAAAUCUCAAUGUUUGGAGAUGAAGUGACGUGUUGUUGACAUUGGUGGCGGUUUAUAAUUUAUGUUUUGAUUGUUGUUAAAAAAAAAGAGAAUAAUAUUUAUUUAUAAAUAUUUCUAGUUUUUCUUUACUUUUUUAAUGGGCCUUAAAACUAUGUGAUUUUAUUUAUCUAUAUUGUGGUCCAUAUUCCAGUUGCAUUUACCAUGAAAAUUACAUCUUGCUAGAAUGGAAAGCUGAUGAAAGAAUUUAUUUUCUUCCUGGUCCACAUAUGCACUUUCUCUUAUAUUCCCUUCCUUUCGAAUUAGAUGUCGUUUUAGAGCAAAAUUUUUGUUUUAAAAGUAUCGUUUUAUGAUUUCAAUGUAAAAUUUAUUAACUUUUUAUUUUAAUCUAUUUUUCUAUUGGUUGAAAUCUGGUUAGGUGUAUUGGUAAUGAUGUUUUUAUCUAGUAAAUAGAUAAAUUUAAAUAUGUUAUUAAUCUGUGUGGUGUGUCGAAGUCUAGAACGACAAGUAAAAUGAAACAGAUAAAGUAUAAUUUAACUUUUACAAUGGAGAUGAGAAACAGAAAUGGAGACUGAACCCCAAGCCCCUUAAAUAUCGCUUUCAAUUGCGUAUCGAGUGAAUCUUAUGUGCAUUAAAAAUAGUAUUAAGGCCGUAAGUUCAUAUUACUGAAACAAAUUGAGUAACAAUCAGAUUGCCAAAUUAAUUAUGACAUUAAGUGUUCUGAAACAAAACCAGAAAAUACAAUAUGCAUGGAAGGAAAACCAUUACUUUAUCAUGAGUGAUUCUCAAGAUUGGUGAAUUAUUAAACUGAUUAAUAUCAUCUGUGUUAAGUAAUGUCUAUGUAAUUUUUCUUCUUCUGUGUGUUUGGGUCUCCCAAAGAUCGUUUGCAAAAAGUUGUCAUUAUUAACAAUGGACCAAACUCGCAUGCUCAACGUUUAUCAUCACCAUUUAUAAUUACAGACACCGACUUUCUAUAUUUUUUAUUUAUUUAUAUUCCCAGCCUCACAUCACCGUUACUUCCCGCCUCACGUUGAUGAUAUAUCAGAAUAUUUUGUCAUCAUAUGCACUUUGUUUUUUUUUCUUUGGUAGCUAUCACAAACAAUCACAAAAUAACACAAGUUUUUUUUAGGCCUGGGCAUAAAUUCCGGAACCCAAAAUCCGAACCAAACCCGAACCGAAAAACCCGAUCCGUUAUCCGACCCGAAACGUAAAAAUAUCCGAACGGAUCUUGUAGUGUGGUACAAAAAAUAUCCGAACCCGAAGUGUUAUUAACCGAACCCGAACGGGUAACCCGAAAAUCCAAAAUUAAUAGUCAAUAUAAAUAUUUUGAAAUAUAUAUAAGUAUUUCAAUUAUUAAAUUUAAUAUUUGUGGUAAUAUUAUAUAUAAUAAUAAAUAUUAAAAUUCUAAUAAAUGCUUUAAGUACACAAUUAGUUAUAAAUAAGUAUUUUAUAAUUUGCUCAUUGAAAUAAAAAGUCUACUUUCUAUAAGGCAAUACAUAUUGUUUACAAAUGAUGUUUGUUUUCAUGAUUGAUUUAACAUUUUAUUGUUAUUUUAUCAAUUUUAUAUUUGAUUGAUUAAUUUUUAUUUAAUUUAGAUGUUUUUCUUUAUGUUUUACUUCAAAAAAUUUGUUUUUUACUUUGGUUAGAUCCGAACCGAACCGAUAUAACCCGAAUCCGUACGAUAUAUGAUUACUUUAUGGGUUUUAUGAUGCAAUACAAUUUUGAACCGAACCCGAAGUGUUAUUAUCCGAACCCGAUCCGUACUAAUAAAAUUUUAGUAUGGGACCUAGAAGCGUAAACCCGAAAAUCUGAAAACCCGAAAAACUCGAUCCGAAUGCCAACUGGUACCCAAACGCCCAUGCCUAAGUUUUUUCAUAAAAGCUAAUGAUCGUCCGCUCAAGUGGGUCAUUGGUAUAUAUAGGCUUCUUCUUCACUACUACUAUGAUAUUUAAUGUAUAAUGAACGUGGAGUUCUAACUUCUAUAUCACAAUGAAGUGGUUCUAUAUUAUAAUAGUAGCUAGCUAGUUUAUUAUCGAUGCAAAGCAUAUUUACACAUGUUUUUGUUUUUAUUUUAAAGUUUAUUAAUAAAUUGUAAUUAUGUAGUAUUUGACAUCUUUAGAGUUAUUGAAUAUACAAAAGGGCAUUUGAGAGUCUAUAAGUACCACCGAAAAUGGUUAUUGAGAGGUUAAAGAUGCUAAUGAGCAACAAAACAAACAUCGUAUUUUCUAACUUGGUCCCAUGAAUUUAACAAAUUAAAAACUUCACAAAAGCAAAAUUAUUUUUAUAAUCUUGCGUUAUGUUUGACUUUUGGUGGCUUAUCCUCAUGCUCAUGCAUACCAGACUACUGUGUAUUGUUUUUAGCAUCAUCACACUCAAUUGCUUUGUUCUAACUUUAAUUUUCAUCUCUAAGUGCAUGCCUUUCGUGUCCUUUAAGGCUAAUUGCUCACUGAUUUAUGCUGCUUUUAGAUAAAGUAUAAUAUUUUGAUAAAAAAAGAAGAAGAUAAAGUAUAAUAUAAUAAUGUGCAUAUAUUAUUCAUUUAAUAUAAUAUAUUUUUUAACGAAUUCUGUCAAAGUGAAAGACUAACAUUUAAUAAAUAAUAGAAAAGGAGGAAGGAAAAAAACACAUAUUGAUGAUUAUAUGCACGAGCAAGAGGAGACUUUAAGAAUUGUACCAAGGGAAACUCACCAUAUUACGCGGUAAAAAAUAUUAUAAACGCAUGCAAUUAUAAAUAUCUUUAAGAAUUAAUUGAGCUCUUUGUUUUUUAUUUAAUAAUAGUUUCUUUUUGAUCUAUCUUCUUCUAUCGGUCUGGAGAAAAAUGCGCUCAAUGCUAUAGAGUUGACUAAUCAGAAAGCUCAAACCAAGAACGACCACACAUUGAUAACUUAGUUUCUACCACGGAUUGAACUCAAAACUAACAGGUUGACAUUGAAUUUCAAAGAUUAAUAUCAGGCUACCACCACUUGAUUAAAAAAAGGUUGAACUCUUUGUAUUUUAUAACUAGUUUAAGGUUGAGCAAUAUCAAGACACAUACGCUGAAUGAGACCUAUAAUAAUCAACAAGACCAUUAGUAACUAAACUUACUUGGUUAAACUGAACUUUGAGAUUUUUUAUAUGUAAUAGUGGUCUUUUACGUCAAUAUAAUGCAAUCUUAGGUCGCUACAAUGCUCUAAUACCGGAUGGAUGGGGAAAUUAUUAAAUGAUAAAUUAGGAAAUAUACUAAACUUCAUAGCUUUAUUAUAAUUUUCUCCAGAUAACUUAAAAUGAAAACCAACAGAACCCAAACAGUAAAUUUGACUAGAAGCUAGUGUUAUGUAUUGACAAUCUAUAUAUGUUAUGUAUUAUGUGAGACUGUGAGUAAUAAAGAAAACUUUGAAUUGAGUAUAUAUAUAUAUAUAUAUACAUAUAAUUGUUUGUGUAUAGAUAUCAGUCUUUAAGUGAGAAUUGUAACUGAAAACGAUCUCUAAUCAAUGGGCAUGCAUUCAUUAAAGAUUGAUACCACGACGAAACUAUAUAAAGCAAAUCAUAUUUAUUAUACACUGGUGAUAUAAAUAACCUUGACCCUUUUUCGUUUGAAAUGUAUGAACUUCUUAGACAACAAGCUUGUACAGAAACUCCAUGUCUUUGAAAAGUAAAUCCAAGCCCAUACUAAAAAAAAUUAACAUAGUUUACUAAUGAUCUAAAAAUUGCUCUGAAAUCCCUAAAUACACUAAUUCUACUAAAUCCAGAUACAUAUAUGAAUUAAUAGAGAAGAUUAAACACUUAAAAAUACAAUUAAACACAUGUUUUAGAUUAUAAAUAGCUGAAUGAAUAUUUUUUGAAAAAGCUCAAUGAAUAUUCAAAGCUCAUCCAAAUAUAAGUUUAUUUUUAACUAAAACAUCCAAAUAGAAGUUAUACAUCUAUGUUACUUAUUUUGUCCAUUCCAGUGGUUAAAUCUAUUUUAACUUAAAAGUCACUUACACCUUAAAUUUUUCUUCUUCUUUUUUUGUGCACAACACCUGAGGGAUUUAAAGCAAACAGGCAAACACAUUCUUCCUCUCUCACUUUUUUCCUAUUGUCCAAUGAGGAACUAUAUGUAGACAUGAGAGAAAGAAGACAACAAUUGUAGUUGCUAAAAAAAUGAAGAAGAAGACAACAAUUGUUUUAUGCAAUAUAAGAAUUCAUAUUUGGGCUUAUUUGCUAAAUAACCAAAAAAAUAAAGAAAAUUAGAUUAAACAAUUCUUUUAAAUAGACAAUUUUCAAGUUUUGAUCACAAAAAUAGAUUACAAAGAGAAAAAUGACCAAAAUAUUUCAUUUAAUAGGUAAAAAGAUCAUAAUACCCUAGAUAUAUAUAAAAAAAAUAAUAACCAAAAAAAUAAGGAAAAUUAGAUUGGGCAAUUCUCCUAAAUAGACAAUUUUCAAGUUUUGAUCACAAAAAUAGAUUACAAAGAGGAAAAUGAACCAAAUGUUUCAUUUAAUAGGUAAAAGAAUCAUAAUACCCUAAAUAUAUAUAUAAAAAAAUUUUAAAAAAUUAAAAAAAUAAUUUUUUUAUAGUUUUAGAUUAUAUGUUUUCAAAUUCGAACUUUUCCAUAAAUUUUUUUUUAAAAAAAAAAAUCGAAAAUUUAUUUUUAAUUUUUUUUUCAAAUUUUCUUUUUGUAAUUCGAAUAUAUUUUUUGAAACUAUUUUUAAAAUUUUUAUUUUUAAAUUUUUAAUAUUUAUUUUUUAUUUUAUAAAAUCUCAAAUCUCCACCCAUUAACUUUAAAUUCUAAGGUUUUGAUUAGUUAACCAUAGAGGUAUAAGUGUAUAUUUACCUCUUUCAUGAAACAUUUUGGUUAUUUUGAUCAUUAGAAUCUAUAUUUGUGACAUAAAUUUUUUUAGUGCUAUCCUAGUUUAUUUUCCAAUUAGAUUUUGGGAAAUAAGAAGAGAAAGUAGGAGGGAGGGGAGACUUUGGAGGAGUUUGGGGGAGUUUUAGUUAGUUAGUGUAUUAUUUUUUUUUUUUGUAUACAGGGUGCAAUUUCCCUUCGUAUCAUAUUUCCCUUUAAAAAAAAAAAAAUUCAUAUUUUCUGUGAUUUGCAACCUUAAAUAAAAGCAAAAAAAACCGAAAUUGCUAAUUAACCUUAAAUUAAAUACAUGAAUUAAGUUGGAGAAUUUAUAUGCAACCUUCCCUUCAACGCAACAAUUCUUUUCCCUUUCCUCAAAGCUUUUACCACCAAACCUCCUUCCUCUCUCCGUCUCUCCCACUAACACUUCCUCCUCCUUCAAAGCUAUGGAUAAGAAGCACGGCUUGUUCUCCAAGUCACAUUCCCGCCGAUCACGCUCCAAGAGCCCCGUCAGAGCCGUCUCCCCCAUCAUCAUCCGCCGCCGCAAAGGCCGCUACGUCUCCCAGCCCGACCGCCACGUGUCCGAGAUGCUUCCUCCGGUCAUAGAAGGUCCCGAUCCGGACGGAGAAGACUCCGGGAGCAGCGGAGACUACUCGAGGAUCGAGAGGCGGUGGUACAAUUGGAUGAAAUGUCAGCUCCCGGUUGCUCCGCCGUCUGUUUCCUCCUCCUCCGGCUUCAAACGCACGGAUCUGAGGCUUCUCCUCGGAGUUCUCGGCGCGCCGCUGGGUCCUGUCCACGUCAGCGCUCUGGAUCUCCUUCCUCACCUCAGCAUCAAGAACACUCCCAUGGUCAGCUUCUAACUUCUAAUUCACUGUGUUUAAGAUUAUUGGGCCUCCGAGGCCCAUAUAUCAGCCUAUUGGAUCUUGACAAAAAAAUCUACUGCGUGUUUCAGGAAACCUCCUCUGCGCAGUACAUUCUCCAGCAGUACACGGCUGCGUCAGGUGGUUAUAAGCUUCACAGCUCAGUGCAAAACGGUUACGUGAUGGGGAGAAUCAGGACGGUGGCGUCUGAGUUUGAGACUGGCUCGAAGGGUUCAAAGAGCAAGAGCAAUUCGUCGAAAGCUGUUGAGUCUGGAGGGUUUGUGUUGUGGCAUAUGAGUCCUGACAUGUGGUACAUGGAGCUUGUUCUUGGUGGGAGUAAGGUCUUAGCGGGUUGUGACGGGAAGCUUGUGUGGAGACACACACCGUGGCUUGGCCCUCAUGCUGCUAAAGGUCCCGUUAGACCGUUGCGACGGGCUCUUCAGGUAAAGCCAUAUAUAUGCUCAUGCUGUUUUUUAUUUUUUCUUGAUUAAAUGAUUAAAUUGUGUGCUUUCAGGGGCUUGAUCCGAGAACAACAGCGAAUAUGUUUGCGAGUGCAAGAUGCAUAGGAGAGAAAAAGAUCGAUGGAGAAGACUGUUUCAUCCUCAAGCUAUGUGCAGACCCGGCAACACUCAAAGCUAGAAGCGAAGGUGCAUCAGAGACUAUAAGACAUACUUUGUUUGGUUACUUCAGCCAAAAGACCGGUCUUCUUGUUCACUUGGAAGACUCGCAGCUAACCAGGAUCCAGAACAUAGGAGGCGAAGCGGUUUACUGGGAGACGACUAUCAAUUCAUACUUAGAAGAUUACAAGCCCGUGGAAGGUAUUGUGAUAGCUCACUCCGGUAGAUCAGUGGCGACGCUACUAAGGUUUGGAGAUAUGUCGUCGGGGCAUAACACUAAGACCACAAUGCAAGAAGCGUGGGUGAUCGAUGAGAUUGCGUUCAAUGUCCCUGGUUUGUCUAUGGACUGCUUCAUUCCACCUUCUGAACUCAGGUUCGAUUCCCACGUUGAAGAGUUGUCUCAAGGCCCCAAGAUUAAGACAUUGCAGCAUGGUUCAGUAGCUACCCGACAUAAUUAUGGCUGAUGCCAGGUUUAUAGUGAAGUUGGGGGUGCAGGAGAUCAAUGUGUAUAAAGAACAUUCAAAUGAAAUCUUUAGAUGGAUUUAUUCUUCUAGUUUGCUAUUAUUGUUGAAGCCAAAUUCUUGUAGGAAGUUUGGUUGAAGAAGAUGUAAAUAGAGCGCAGGAGAGUAUACUAGUCUUUGCUGCAUAAUGUAAGAGGAAUUGUGUAGUCUCUAUUCGAGGGCUAUUUUUCAUUAUCAACUUAGGAAGUCAGUCCAGUUUCAUUUUGAUAAAAUAUAGUUUCAAAUACAAUGACAGAAGCAAGCAUGUAGCACAAAAUGUUGUUUCUUUCACCUAACUAGCCUUGUUUCAAUGCAGUGUAGUGAUCUGACCGGAUCUGAUGAAUUGUAGCAUAAAUAAACCAGCGUAUGAUUUGUCUUUGCUCCUAAACUAUCCAAACCGAGUUAUCCGUUUGUUAACAAGAUUUUUACAAAUGGUAAAUGAAUAUCAGAAAUUUGUUCGCAGGUAGAUUAGCAUCACCGGUUCACUAUCACUAUCGAAAACCUAAGUUUCUUAUAACCCACAUAAAUCAUACUAUAAGUUUUGGUUUAACCAAAAAAGAAAUUCUUAAAGUUAAGCAGGUUAAUAUAAUAGAGGUUUAUCUCAUAAGAGUACUAGGGCCAGCCCGCCCUACGGGCGGAAUAAUAAUUUAAAAAUCAAUUAAAUAGUUAGAAUAAAUAUUUUUUAUUUUUGUUUAAUAUUUAUUUUUAUUUUAAAAUAUUUUGUUCUAUAUUAGUAUGAAUCAUUAUUUUACUGAUUGUUAUUUUUUAUUCAGUUGCAUUCUCAUUACAAUUAAAUAAUUUUUUUUUACGAUUAUUAAGAUUGUUUAUUCAUUCUCUUCGUGUGUCUCUUAUUUGACUAUAUAACUAUAUAUUUUAUUUUUACACAGUUGUAGAUCUAUGUUUAUAGUUAUUUUUUAGAAUUCUUGACAUAAAUAUUUAAAAUACAUUCUACAUUUAUUUAGUUAGAAUAACUUGACAUAUUUCUUUUAUAUAAAAAAGUUAUUCAUUUUUGUUUUUAUAUUUACUUUUUGUUUCUAAUUAUCUAUUAAUUAUUUUAUUUUGGUCUUUUCGUAGAAACUUUUUUAAUUUAUUAUGUAUUACUAUCUGUUAAAAUAGUUAUUAAUUAAGUCCAAAUCUGAAACCAAUGUCUUAAAAUUUAUAGAUGUUUACAUAUAAUAAGUCAAAUGGAUACUUGUUUGCUAAAAAAGAUGGAGGAAUUUACUUUAGAUUAUGCAGUUAUUUACUUUUUUUAAUUGAAAUUACGGUAUUUUUUAAAAAAAUAUUGAAUUCCUUUAGUUUAGUUUAUUUUAUUUAAAUUUUCCAAAUUUAUUUGGAUACAGUAAGCUUACAUCUAUUUUGGCAUUUAUUUAUAACAUUUCGAUUUGUCUAUUAUAUUUUUGUUUAAUGCUUGCCAUUUCUUUACCAAGUCUUUUUGUUUUUUCAACUAUUUUUUUUUAUUAUGUAAUUAAUUAGUUGAUUUUUUUUUCAAAACAGAUUUUUUAGUUUGCCUUUUCUCAAUUACUGAAUGCUGGGGUAAUAUCAAGCUCUUACUGUCACCCAAUAUUAUCAGUUAUUGAAUGCUAUUUUAGACGACAAAAAAUUGUUGUUUUUGUGUGUUUGUUCACCUGUGCAAGCUUGCUGCCGGAAUUGUAUACUUUUGUCCACCAUAACACGUUCUUAUGAUCUAACUCAACAAAACUGACAGUGCAACUUCCACAUGAAAAUUAACAACUGCUGCAAAAAUAUCGUCACGCCUGCCUCAAUACAACCACCGAACUUCAACGCAAAAAGCAGGAUCUGGAGUUCGCCAUUGCCAUAGCCUGUGUUUAAAAGAUUAUUAAGAACGUAAAGAAGUGGAGCAAGCUAUGAGAUUUGUUAUAAUUUGCACCCAUAUUUAUAGGAUCAGAAAAUCAGAGUAACAAAGGUGGAGUAGACAUGACAAAAACUAAAGUAGAAUCUAUAUAAGUAAUAAGCAACAAAGAUUUGAUGAGUUGAGGUGACAGUGCAACUUCCACAUGAAAAUUAACAACUGCUGCAAAAAUAUCGUCACGCCUGCCUCAAUACAACCACCGAACUUCAACGCAAAAAGCAGGAUCUGGAGUUCGCCAUUGCCAUAGCCUGUGUUUAAAAGAUUAUUAAGAACGUAAAGAAGUGGAGCAAGCUAUGAGAUUUGUUAUAAUUUGCACCCAUAUUUAUAGGAUCAGAAAAUCAGAGUAACAAAGGUGGAGUAGACAUGACAAAAACUAAAGUAGAAUCUAUAUAAGUAAUAAGCAACAAAGAUUUGAUGAGUUGAGGAUGAGAGAUCUUACAUCUAUUUAUACACAAAAAAUUCACCGUCUCUGUGACGCAAGGAUCGCAUUGAAGACACAUCAAUGGGAGUAAACAACCGUUACCGGAAACGUAAAGACAGGACGGAGGCGAUGAUGAGAACGCGACCUAGGGUUCCUCUUAACCGCGUUUACGGGCCUGUUAAACAAAGUCCAAAACAAUAGAGAAAAUAAAGCACACGGUUUGUGCAGAAGUAGGGACACGUGUCGACCCUAUAUCAAUUGACUUUCCACGUGGAUACUCCAGGAGUGAACUAAACAUCUUUUUAUAUAUAUAUAGAUAGAUGUGUUAAAAAAAAGGGAGGUUGAUAAGUCACUUGAUGAUAACCGGUUAGUAAAAGGUAGGCGGCCGGUUCGCACUUUACAGAUUAACCGGCAUCGCUGAUCAAACUUGGUUUCGCCUCAUUCUCUUCUUCCGUCUGAUUUAUAGCACUAAAAAAACAAAGGUAAUCCUCUUGGACUUUAACUCAAAUUCACCUCAAUUAUCGAUUCCUUAAUCACUCACCAUUCUCUCUCAUUGCUGUGAAGAAGAUAAUGGUGCUCUCUGACUUCACUGGAGUCGGUGUUGGAUUCGGUAUUCGCCCAAUUCGCAAUUGUUUCUCCUCUUUAUUUCCUCUUGUCUUUUUUUUUUUUUUUAAAUUCGACUCUGUAAUUAUGUUAUUAUUAUAUGGAAUUUAUAGGAUUCGGCGUUGGCUGUGGAUUUGGCGUUGGCUGGGGUUUUGGAGGUUCGUUCACAAUUUCUUUCUGGUUUUUAAACUUGAAAUUGAAACCAAGGGAGUAGAUUUUACUGAGCUAAGGACGAGAUUAUAAGUCGGUUUCUUGAAUAAUCAAUCAAAGAGACAAUGCCUAUUUUGACUUGUUGUAGACUUCGUUAGCAUUUGGGAAAGCUGAGAUCAAAUCAAACCAAAUACUUUUUUACUGGUAGAUUGUUUUCCAUUGAGAAUAUAUACUCUGGCUUUGGGAUGUACAAUGCACAUUGCUCUCUGUUUGUUUAGUAUCAUGAUCAUAUUCCAAAACGUUUCCUUGCCAGUGACGGACGCUAACAGGCACUCACAGACAUUAAUAUGUAUCAAUGGCUGCUGAAUUAGAGAUUUAUUUAUGUUUGCUUUUCUUGCAGGAUUGCCUUUGAAUGUUUUAGGCGUUGGUGUAGGUAAGCAAGCCUUUGAUACAUAUUUGCUUCUUCUCUACACGAGCACAUGAUUGCUUAAUCUCUCAUCAAGUCUCUAGUUACAAAACUCCUCAUAAUGCCAUAUUGUAUUUGAAGGUGGAGGUUGCGGAGUGGGUUUAGGCCUCGGGUGGGGUUUUGGAACUGCCUUUGGUAGUCACUACCGAUCAUCUAGGCUUACCUUUCAAGGCGUCGAGCUAGAGAAGGAUGGUAAAGUUGAAAACAUGUCCAAAAACGCUUAGCAGCCUGGAAACUUCCCAUCCCAAAUCACUGAGAAAAACUCCGCUCGGAUUUAAGAAAAAAAUGUUAUGACAUUUUUUCUUAUUUCUCAAUAAGAAUCAUAUUUCAAAUAAUCAAAAUCAAGAAUGCAUUUCUGUUUUACAAAACAUAUGUUCAAAAUCAAGAAUGUUGUUUACUCGAACCAAAAAAAAUGCAUUUCUAUGUUACAAGAGAAUCAAACUCAGUGAUAAUACUACUGUACAGUAAGCAUGUAGACUUUGCCAAAUCCGGCUCAUAACGAAGAUGAAUGAACUCUCCAGCGUCGUAUUCAUACCUGUCUUCUACAUUGCAUGCGUUGCGACUACCACUGCAUGCCAAAUCUCAAAUACUAAUUAACUUGCAGAGGGGGGAAGAAAGUUCGGUUUAGUAAAUAUUUACCUAUAAGAAAAAGUAAAAGAAGAAUCCAAAUCGUAGCUUGAACGGUUUUACUAUAUCUCAUUCGAUACUGUGACCGUUGAAGCUGCCUCUGUAUAGCUCCAUACCAACCGUGAAGCUGCUUCUCAUAACAAUCCUCUUCACACUCCAUACAACUCUUGUUUGGAGAUCUUACCUGGUUCGCUUGGAUGGGCAAUAACAACACAGCAUCAGAGUCUCCUUGUCGAUCCAAGGCCUUCCACUUCCUAACGCAAUUUUUGGAGCCAGGCUCCAUAAAAUUCAAGAACCCGGAGACGCUUGGAACUUUCCGUGGAGGUCGAACCGGUGGCUCACCAGAAGAUUUCUGUAAUAACCCGUCUUUGGAAACCGCAAUGUUCCAAGCACCGAUGUCAGGAGUAGCACUGGCCGUUCUCCUAUGACCUUGCGUCUUUGCUUGUUUCUUUUCAGACUCAGACGGUCCAGUCAAGAAGAGAGCAAGCUCGUUACGAUCAUCUUCGUCCAAACGCACCCAUCUCGGAGUUCCUUUGCCAUCAUCAGCUUCCUUGAGAGAUUUCUCAAUCUUCGCAACUUGAGUCUCCAUCACGAAAGUAAACUCCCGAUGCCUAUCUUGAGUUUCGUCAUUUAGACGAUUGUCGUAGCUAGAUUUAACAGCUCGUUGGAAUUCAUCUAACUACAACAAAAACAUACAUAUUAUAACGGAGCUAGAAAAGGAGAUAGAUUCAAUUAAUGGACGCGGAAACAGAUGAAUAAACGUCAUAAACUAAACAACAUGGAGAUUUAAUGUGGUUCACUAAACUAAAUUGGCUACGUCCGAAUGCGAGAUCCCAAAGAAGGGAAGAAAGAAUAGAAACCUGCCAUUUGGUGGUUCCAAGAGCAGCGUGAAGGCCCCUGUGAAGCUGAUCAGAGUCCCAUACAUUCGAAGAGCCUCGCUUGAUCCAUGACCUGUAAGCUGACUCCAUCCUUCACAUCAAUCCAAGAUAAACACAUUGUGUGAAUUCAAAGAUCUAUAAACAAAAAAAACUUGUUUGUUUUGAAUACAAAUCCCUUAACAUGAAGCAAGAAAGAAAUCUACAUUACAUCACGAACAAUGAAAGUUGUGGUAACAAAAAUGUAUGAGAAUGAAAUCUAAAAAAAACGGAACCUGUCGGCAGAUUCCUGAACUUCUUCAGCAGCGGCAAAGAAAGGAUCCUUCUCCCACCGAUCCAAACUCGUCGUCAUUUCUCUGUCGAAGAUGAACCUAAGGGGGAUAAUAGUCUUCGAAGAAAUAAAGGAAGAGAGAGAGAGAGAGAGAUUGAAAUGGGGGAAAUGAGACGAUGAAUCGAAGAGAGGAACGUUCAUGGAAUAGCCAAAUUGAUUACCCGCCUUUCGUUACAGGCACGUGCCAUAAUUAAUAUUAGUAACGUUUGGUUUGUUAGUUGAUUAGUUCUAGACAAACCCAGUUACACAAAUAGUGAGUUGGCCAUGUCCGACUCAUUCUGUUUUUCACAUUAAAAUAGAGUUGUGUUUAAAUCCAUGUUCUAAAAAUCGGCCGCCUAGCCGUCUACGCGCUACGCGUCACUCUUCCGCCCCGAUUUAUGCCAAAUCAGUUAAAAAAAUUGGAUAUCCGAUUUUUUCCGCCUAGACCGCUUAAAUGACCGUCUAGCCGCCUAGGCGACCGCCUAAUCUAUUUUUUUAUUUAUUUAUUUAUUUAUUUAUUUUUAUUUUUAUUUUAUUUUUAAUAAUUUUUUUUAUUUUUUUAUUUGAUCUAAAAUUUUAUAAAUAUCAUUUAUAUUCAUAAUUUUGAUGAAAAAUUACACUAUAUUAAGUUUAUAUAUUCUAUUUGUGUGUUUUAUACAAUCUUAAACAUGAAAAUGUAUUAAUGUUAUACACAAUUAAAGAUUAACAUGUUUUAUAACACAGUAAACCAUCUAAAAAUUUCACCCCGCAUAAUUUCCGAUUAAUCCCCGAUUUUCUCUUUAGGCGCUAGGUCCAAUCCGACCGUCCGACUAGCGCCUAGCGCGUUCCCGAACAGGGGUUUAAAUAAUACUCUAUUUUCCAUUCUAUAAUAAAAUAAAAAAUAGGUUUACUCUAACUCGUUUUUUUUGUCAUCAUUUUAUAAUAAAGUAAACAACCAACUCUGUUUUUGAAAAAAAAAAAAAACCCAUUGAAGAUAGUAUUAGGACAUCUUCAACUCUCUAUUUUGCGUUCUAAAAUAAAGUUUACAGUAAAAACAUUCUAAUGAUAUUCUAUUUUCCAUUUUAUAAUAAAGUAAAAAAUAGGUUUACUCUGUAUAUAUAUUAAGUUUUUUUUUUUGUUCAUCGCUCUAUUUUACGCACUAAAAUAGAAUACCAUUUUACUCUGUGAAAAAUAUAAUGAACCAUUGGAGUUGGUUUUAAUUAACCGAUGAUGCCCAACUCUCUAUGGUUCGGUUUUAUAAUUUCAAAAUUAAUCAUUCUCUCUGGUUCGGUUUUUGUUUACUAAUAAAUGGGCUUUAGAUCGAUUAAAGUUUCUUCAAUAUUAAAAGCCUAAAAGUAAAAGUCAUUAAAUUCGUCAUAAUCCACAGCAAAAUCUAUAGAUUUCUUUCCUAAUAAAAAGUCAUAGUCCACAGAAAAAUCUUGACUUUGAAAUUAGUCAUAAUCCACAGCGAAAUCUAUAGAUUUCUUUCUCUAAAAGAACAUGGAUUUCAAUUAUUUAUAGUAAUCUCUUACACUUGAUAAUCGAAUAAUUUCAUUGAGCAUGGCCAAUUAGAUUUCAAGUUCAGGGUUCUCCACUUGAUCCUCAUCGAUCAUUAGACUAUCGAAUUCAUCAUCUCCGAACCUGAACGUUUCCGUCGUCACCAAUCAGAAACACUCCCACCUUCUUCUCUGAUCAUAAUAAUCUUAGGUAGGACACUAUUGAAGUCUUGUUCAUAUUUUCCAUGAAUAUAACAAGGCAUGAUCGUUCUUUUGCUAAGCUUUUAGUUUUGUUCCAGGAAAACAUGGUGGAGAUCUAUUCUAUCUGUGGAAAAUGGAUACAAAAUGACAGGGCUCAAUGGGAGUUUGUAGUAGAUACCACAAGAUUGGGAUCACUUUCCGAGAUUGAUCAAAACGUUGCUUUCGAUGUUUUAGUUAACAUUAUUACCGAAGAUUUGGAUGUCCCUGAUAAAGACAUUGCACUCAGCUAUGGAAUUCCAUUGGCUGCGAGAUGUUCGAAACCCAUGAUACAGAACACUCCACCGGUCGAUAUACGGAACGAUCGCCAACUAAGAGCUUACAUCAACAAGAUCAAAGAAGAAGAUGAUAGGCGUCGCGUUCCUCUGUGUAUUCCUUUGUGUGUAGCCCUAUGUGACAAACCCAAACCCAGAUUCAGCUGUUCAUUGGGAAGAUUGUUUUCUAAGGAGUGAACAUUCAAAUUUGGUUGAAAUAAAGCAUUAAUUUUUAUUCAUACCAAAAAAUAAACACUCAAUUUUUGUUGACACGCUAUUUUAAUCAUAAUUUUUCUUGACCAUAUCAUUUUAGUCAUAUCGCUAGUCAACGGCUAUAGUUGACUAACAAUAGGCCUAAAAUGAAUUUAUAUAAUUUUUAUUUAUAUUCUAGAAUAAUAAGUUAAUAUAUCAUUAGUUUAAUAACUAUUUAUUAAAUAAUUAUCAAGAAAUUAUAUAAUUAUUUAUGAUAAUUAUGUCACUUUUUGUAACUAUUCGUAUAAUCCUAAUUCAAAUAUUCUUCAUGAUUUAAUUGUCCAAAAUUUUAAUAUUGUUUGAAUAAUAUUAUUAUUUUUUUUUUCUCAAAAGAAUAAAAUUAUUGUUAUAUGUAUUCUUCAUGAUUCCAAUGAUGUAGCAACAUUUUGGAAUCUUGCAACACAUUUGUAGAAAUUAUAUAAAAAAGUUAAAAGAUAUUUAUUAUACAUAAAGAAUCAUGAAGAAUCCAUCAACCGGUAAUUUUUUUGUUUGAUAAUCAAAAGUUGAAUUAGCAUUUCACUAACAAAUCUUUCGACAGUAAAAUUAUAAACAUAUUCCAAAUAAAAUUAUAUAAAUAGUUAUUAAAAUGAUCGUAAAUAAUUAUAAAAGUUUUUCAUAAUCAUUUUAUAACUAAAUACUCAAUUAACAAUAUGUUAACUAAUUAUUAUAGAAUAUAAAUGAAAACUAUAGAAUUUUUUACUUUGAGAAACUAAAAACUUUUAUAUUUUUGGUUUGAAUUAUUUCUUAUUUAUAAUUGUAUUUAUUAGUGUUAUAGUUAUUUAAAAUAUGUUUUCAAUAUUUAAAAUAUUGAAAAGGUGUUGAUUUAUAUUUUGCCAAAAAAUCAUCAACUUUAAAAGUCAUUUUAGGCAUACUGCUAGUCAAAUAUAAUUAUUGACUAAAAUAAUAUGGUCAACGAAAGUUUAUUUAUGGCUUGUCGACAAAAAUUGAGUGUUUUUUAAUGUUGGAUAAUUAUGUUAAUUACAAAAUAUGAAAAAUAUUAUAGACGAUUCUGCAGCCGGCAAUUAUACCUGCCUUAUGAAAAUUCACGUCUAACUGUAUCACCUGGGCUGCCCUAUCAGAUUCACGCUUGACGGUACUCUUUGCGCCAUACUGCAGAUCUCUUGUAAGCAUUUUCACUAUUAAUUUACAUAAUUCUGCUUUCUCUGGGACUCGAAACUCAAAUCUAUUGAUGUAGAAGCAUUAAUAAACCCUUUGUCUAACCACUAAACCAAGGAAGCUUUCACAAUUGAGUGUUUUUUUGGUUUACCAAAAAGUUAGUGCGUUAUAUCAACCAAAUUUGAAAGUUGAUGAUUAAAACGACAUUUUUCCCAUUGUGUAUUAUACAAUUUUUUAGCCUUUGGAUAUUAAUUUUUUGUUCAUUUAAUUAAGGUGAAUGAGAAAGUUAACAUGUUUGCUCUUGAGAAUGUUGGCACCAACAUACAGUUGAAGACCAUAGAGAAUUGCGACGAGGAAAGAAAUCAACACACAAAUAUUGUGUUGCAAGAUUUAGAUGGUCAGUCCUUUUUUAAACAAACCUUCAUUGAAAUAGUUAAACUCAAACAUAUUUAGGGAGGUUCAGCAAAGCCAACUUAGCCAAAGCAUCUUCUUCAGCGUUGUUAAGUCUCGGUACAUGAUGAAAUGAAAUAGAUGAAAAGAAAAUACAUAAAAACUCGAUAUCAAACAACACUCCUUGUGCUUCGACUAUCUUUAGAUGUCUGUUAUAAAAUAUUGUGAAUCUGACCAAACGGCCAGAGUUUUUAAUCCCAAGCUAACUGCUUCCGUGAGAGCAGUUUUAAUCGCUAUACCUUUUGCUAUGAAAACAGAACCGACAAAGCAACGGUUUGAUGAAGUUUGGUGGAGAAUGUUGUUGUUUGAAAGGUCCUAGAAAAUGCAACUAAAUCAUCCUCCUCUUGUGGUUGCAUUCCAAGCAGCAUUCACAAAGCAUUGUUUAAUCUGCAACGCUCCACACACUGAUAGCACUCUAUUUCUAGUCGAUGUGCAAUUUCCAAGUUGAGCUUCCUGCCAAAUCCUUGUUUCUUUCAGAGCCAGAAUAGCUACCUCCUGUUCAGUCAUCUCAAAUUUCAAACAUGAUUUUAUCUCUUGCUAACCAAAGAAACCAAAACACCCAGGGAUAUAGAUCAGUGACGCUCAGAACUGAGGGUGGUAGGUUAACCAUGCGACGACAAGCUAGGAUCAGCGAGACUGGUGUUGAGAUUGAACCAUGAGCCGGUUUAUACAUAACAUGUAUCAGCUCCCAAACCCGAGAUGCAAAGGAACACUAAAAGAACACAUGGCGAUCUGUUUCCAGCACACCGCAUCUCUUACAUCUGCCUUCCACUUCAAUCCCUCUUCGAAUUAAGUUCUCGCCCACGAGAAUGGCUUUGUUUUUGUUUUUUCCAGAGGAAGUGUUUGAGCUUCCCAUACAUAUUUAUUCCAAUAGUCUUAUGAAUACUUAUUAGUUAUGUAUUAUUAUAAUUAAAUGUGACAUCUUAUGUUUUCAAAAACUUUUAAGCAAACAGUAAAUAUUUAUAUAUGACAAUUUUUCAUCAAAAUAUAUACUCCUAUGUUUUAUAAAAAAAAAUUAAUUAAUUAAUAUUUAACUAUAAACUUUUUUAUAUCUUAAGUUUUUAACUUUUAUAACAUAAAAUAUUACUUCGAGAUGACAACACAAUAUGUUUACAUUUUUUAAUAUGUUUUUUUGACAUUAAAUUUUAUUAAUUUAUAAUCAAUAAUUGAAUAUAAUAUAUAAAUCUAAUGUUAUAAAUAUAAAAUUAUUUUUUAUUAUAUAAUAAAUUGUUAUAAAAAUUCAUUAAGUGUAUCAUUAACCACUCUAAAUUUUAACGUGAGUUAAAAUGCAAAAAAUCACUUUGCAAAAGAUUGUAGGAUAUCAUUGACAUUAGCCACUCUAGUUUUAAACAAAAGAAUUCAAAUGUGAAAAAUCACUUGGCAAAUAAUAGUAUAGAUCUCUUGCAUACAGAAGACGAAGGCAUGGCACAGAGGGCGCCACAGAGAUGACCACAGAGGUUCAGUAUGCUGAAAUUUUAAGAAGGUUUUCCCUAUUGAACAGUACAAGUAUUGUUAAUUGUUACCGGUGUGCUAACACAGAAAGGCAUUUUAAGUGUAGUUUAUGUGGUUGGUAGACAGGGAGUAGCAAGCAGAAGGAAGAAUCAAAAACAAAUGGAUGUUGGAUAUGCUUAGGAGUUUUUUUAUUAUUGUGAAAUUUAAAAAACAGAGUUGGGGCUAAUUGAUAUGAUUUUUAUUCAAAUAAAAAAACUCAAAGUUUCUAUCAUAUCUAAUCUAUUAAAACAUGAGUACAAAUAGAAAAUGACCCUGAUUUUUUCUCAGUAAUUACAAUUAUAUGUCAUUGAUCAAAACACAGUAGUUUUACAUUUUCUCUAACUCAUUAAUUCCUAAUAUUAUGUUUUACACUAACCAUGUCACAUUAUAUUCGUUGGACUUGGUUCUUAUUUAUCGAAACUAUGACUCCUUAUUUAACUCUGAACAUUUGAUUAUUGAUAGUGCUCAUAUCAUAUAUAUAUAUAUAUAUAUCGCACUAUGAAGUUUCUUAAAAUAAAUCUAAGGCCUGGGAUUAUAAUAUCCAUUUUGUGGCGUGCAGAUUAAUUGGUUUAAUCUUUCUAUGAAAUUCAUUUCAUAAUUGCAACAAUCUUUAGUAAUUGCAAUUUAAUUGUUAAAAUGUUGCCUAUGGAGUAUAGUAUCAAUUUGGUGGCUUACGGAGUAAUUGGUUUAGUAAUUGCAAACAAAUUAUUAUUGUACUUUACACCUUUUAUAUGAUCAAACCGGUUUAUAAAUUUCAAAAAAAAAUUGUUUUCAAAACAAACUUGGUGUACAAUUAAAAAUAAUGGUAUGUACUAACCAUUAAAAAACAAUUUGUAUACCGAGAUUUCUAUCUAAAUUCGUUAUGAAAAUCUAAAUUUAACUAUGUUGAUAAUCGAAUAAAAACAGAUAUCCCCAAACGAGUAUAUAAAAACUCAAUAUUUGUACCUAGCAGCCACAUAUAUUUUGGGCUUUUCAUAACAAUAAAAAUAUUUUAAAAUAUUAUAGAUUGUUUACAGAAAUCUCUGCCAUAUUAACUACUUUACAUAUUUACAGCUAAAAUCUAGCAUAUAUAUUUUACGUGAUACACUCAGUUACUAACUUAAUAAAAAUAUUCCAAGGUAUAGAAUCCCUACAAUCAAUGAAAAAUCUAAUUAUUAAAUAUGAAAUUAAUUAGCUCACUAAACACACCGUCGUCCUUAUAUAUAUACAUCUCCUACCUUCUAUUUUAUUUGCAACACGCAAUAAAAAAAACACUUUUGUUUGUUAGGCAAACAGAUUUUACCAUCUUCUUCUUAGUUUUAGCACUCCUUUCACCAUUACAAAAAAAAAAUCGUUAGGUUACAUGAGACCCUUUUUUCUAUCUCAUUCAAUAUGUUCUUUAACAAUCUUUGUGUCUAUAAAACCAAACACACACAAAAGAAAACUUUAUAAUCUCUUCAUUUAUGUAAUAAAAAAAUGUCUAACCUCACACAAAAGUGUAUUUUCUUCAGGGAACCAACCUCUCUCUUGAAAUCAGAGUUUAAGUAUAUAUAUAUAUACCAUUUCGAAAAUUAGAACCCAUUAUUGGAUAAACUAAAACCCAGAAACGAUGAUCUUAAAUAGAGUUUAACCACAGUUUCUUAUAUGUUGCCUUCUGCUCUUAUCAGUGAACUUGGAUGCAAUGAUCACCCAACUAAUCAAACAAAACAACAUCAAAAUUAAUCGACCCAAGAUCAGAGACAAAUGAUAGUAAACUGAAGUCAUUUUAAUCCUAAAAACAGUUUUAACAGUGUGAAACACACAAAUUAUGUUAUGGAACUCUUUAGUUAGCAGAAUCACAUAGGGACAUGCCUAAAAAUAGCUAAUUACUUGCACCAAAAUCAAAGUCUUUUUUAGUAAGAAGAAGAAAUUUUAAACGGAUCUCACGAGAUAAUUGUGAAUGUUCUUUUACAAUCUAAAUAAAGCAGACUUCUCAGCCGCUGUCACCGGAGGAAGAGGCUGACGGUUGCUGCGGUUGCCGUCGCGGGCCAGAAGCAAGAGGCAGAAAGCGAGAUACUCUUCUUCAGUGAGGUUUUGUUGGUUAAAAUCGGAUCUUGAUCUUUUGGAACGUUUGCCUUUGGUCCAGUGUUCGACUCCGUGGAAUCUUGAAGAAUCUUCGAACAGAGGAGGAACUGGAGAAGCUAGUCUAGGUGAACUGAGAGCCUCGAGUGCCAUGAGUUGAUCAAAAACUGGAGAUCUUUAGUAUGAGAAUCUGAGGUUUCUUGUAAUGGAUUGAAUUGUUGUUGAAUGAGAAGAAAGGAGAGAGUGAGUGAAUAAAUAUAUAGUAGGUGGAGUGUGGGGGAGAGGAAGUUGCGUGACAAGUGGUCGGAAAGUGUGGUAAGAGUGAAGGUGGCGAUUAGAUAAAUUAAUAUGUGCGGACCAGAGUUGUGAGGGAAGCAUCUACGUCUUUUUUUUUGGG